GAUGAACGCUGGCGGCGUGCUUAACACAUGCGAGUCCAACGGUGAAGCAUAGCUUGCUCUGUGGAUCAGUGGCGAACGGGUGAGUAACACGUGAGCAAUCUGCCCCGGACUCUGGGAUAACAGUUGGAAACAGCUGCUAAUACCGGAUAUGAGACGUGACCGCAUGGUCGACGUUUGGAAAGAAUUUCUGUUCGGGAUGAGCUCGCGGCCUAUCAUCUUGUUGGUGAGGUAAUGGCUCACCAAGGCGUCUACGGGUAGCCAGCCUGAGAGGGUGACCGGUCACACUGGGACUGACACACCGCCCAGACUCCUACGGGAGGCAGCAGUGGGGAAUAUUGCACACUGGGCGGAAGCCUGAUGCAACAACUCCGCGUGAGGGAUGACUGCCUUCGGGUUGUAAACCUCUUUUAUCACGGAAGAAGCGAAAGUGACGGUACCUGCAGAAAAAGCGCCGGAUAACUACGUGCCCGCAUCCGCGGUAAUACAUACGGCGCAAGCGUUAUCCCGAAUUAUUGGGCGUAUAGAGCUCGUAGGCGGUUUGUCGCGUCUGCUGUGAAACCCGAGGCUCAACCUCGGGCCUGCAGUGGGUACGGGCAGACUAGAGUGCGGUAGGGGAGAUUGGAACUCCUGGUGUAGCGGUGGAAUGCGCAGAUAUCAGGAAGAACACCGAUGGCGAAGGCAGAUCUCUGGGCCGUAACUGACGCUGAGGAGCGAAAGGGUGGGGAGCAAACAGGCUUAGAUACCCUGGUAGUCCACCCCGUAAACGUUGGGAACUAGUUGUGGGGUCCAUUCCACGGAUUCCGUGACGCAGCUAACGCAUUAAGUUCCCCGCCUGGGGAGUACGGCCGCAAGGCUAAAACUCAAAGGAAUUGACGGGGACCCGCACAAGCGGCGGAGCAUGCGGAUUAAUUCGAUGCAACGCGAAGAACCUUACCAAGGCUUGACAUAUACGAGAACGGGCCAGAAAUGGUCAACUCUUUGGACACUCGUAAACAGGUGGUGCAUGGUUGUCGUCAGCUCGUGUCGUGAGAUGUUGGGUUAAGUCCCGCAACGAGCGCAACCCUCGUUCUAUGUUGCCAGCACGUAAUGGUGGGAACUCAUGGGAUACUGCCGGGGUCAACUCGGAGGAAGGUGGGGAUGACGUCAAAUCAUCAUGCCCCUUAUGUCUUGGGCUUCACGCAUGCUACAAUGGCCGGUACAAAGGGCUGCAAUACCGUGAGGUGGAGCGAAUCCCAAAAAGCCGGUCCCAGUUCGGAUUGAGGUCUGCAACUCGACCUCAUGAAGUCGGAGUCGCUAGUAAUCGCAGAUCAGCAACGCUGCGGUGAAUACGUUCCCGGGUCU
rnacentral:rRNA from 1 species